GCCUGGGUGGCUCAGUCGGUUGAGCGUCCGACUUCGGCUCAGGUCAUGAUCUCACAGCUUGUGAGUUCGAGCCCCACGUCGGGCU
rnacentral:tRNA from 1 species